GAUGAACGCUGGCGGCGUGCCUAAUACAUGCAAGUCGAGCUAAGCGGGGACGGGUGAGUCAAACGUGGAUAACCUCCUAUAAGCCUGGGGUAACUUCCGGAAACCGGAGCUAAACCGGAUACUUAUGGAUGGAUCCGCACUGCAUUAGCUAGUUGGUAAGGUAACGGCUUACCAAGGCAACGAUACAUAGCCGACCUGAGAGGGUAAUGGGCCACACUGGAACAGAGACACGGUACAGACCCCUACGUUAGGCAGCAGUAGGGAAGCGACCGCAAUGCGGGACAUAUUGGCGGAGCACCGCCCGGCGAGUGAAGAAGGUGUUGGGAGCGCAAAACACUGUUAUGAGGGAAGCGGUACCUACUCAUAAAGCCACGUCUAACUCCGUGCGAGCAGCCGCGGUAAUUC
rnacentral:rRNA from 1 species